AGAGGCAGGGUUUGGGAUUUGUUUGCAGAGAGGUUAGGCAUUCAGACAUGUGGAAAGAGAGAUGAAAGGAAAGUGCAUCUGAGGCUGAACAAGUGACUAAAGGAGAAGCCACUGUGCCUGUCGAAAGAACAAUGAAUAAUCCAAGAAUUGAUAGAUAAGUAAGACUGGGGAAGGAGGAGAAAGGAAGACACAGCCUCUGAGAGCCGGAUGAAGAAGACACAAAUGGGAUGGAGGCUGCGGCUGUUAAACCAUCAGGACUCAGCAAUUAUUUCAUGUGGAGACAAGUGAUGGCAAAGCCAAAAGGCCACGGGUGUUGAGCUGUUGAUGAGAAACUGAAAGUGCCAUUGUGUUUAUACAGGAAGCUGCCAUUAGUAGGGAUUUGAAAAAGCAAGAGGAGAGGAUGAGUUUAGUGGGGAGUUCUUACACUUCAGGUGCUAGUGGAUAUCACCAAGUCAAUAUUGAGUAGCAGGAAACCAGGGCCUGAUGUUCCAUCAGGCCAUCAGGGUGGAGACACUGUGGAGAGGAAGUUUUGAGGCUGUGAGAUUAG
rnacentral:lncRNA from 1 species